rnacentral:lncRNA from 1 species
AAGCAACAGCUUUUAAAUUUUGUUUAAAAGUUUGAAAACGAGCAAAUGAAAAGAACCUUAUUUUGUAUUUUAUAAUUGUAACAAAUUUAACAUGGUCUAAUUAUUGUAGGAAUCAGAAAUGAAGUGUCCGAUGAAGAUGACAGAUGAAACACAAAUUGAGGUAUUUUUAGUAGAUUUAAAUAUUGUGUCGGUGUUUAGAAAUUUCUGUGUACAUGUAAUAUUAUAUAUGUAUAAAAACAGAGAUGUACAUGUGGGAAAUACAUCAAUGAAACAGCAACCAAACAAAGCAAUAAAAAAAAUCCAGGGGACAUCAUUCAGUUUUAUUCAAUAUUUAUGAUUAUAUGUUUUUUUCCAUUUUUGUUAAAAAAAAGAAAAAAUUAUGUCAGAGUUUGAGAAGCUUUUUAAAUUUGAUUAUGUAUUUAAAUUAUUUACAGUUUAUAUUCCAGUAAAUAAAACAGACUUUGUUUGUGCUAUGUAAUAUUUUGCCAUCUUGCGAAAGUUAAUUUAGCCAAAAUUGCCUACUUUAUCUGUUAGAAAAAUAAUGAAUUUAAAAUCUUAAAUCAUUUACCUCCAAUAAAAUUGUAUUAAUUCUAAAAUGUGAAGGGCACAUUAAAAAUAUCUUUACAAUAAGAUCUUGGACAUUACUGCUGUAUUCUGGGGGAAAAAAUGUUGCCAAAUUAUUUCAUUGACAUAAAUAAAUCAUGUCAAAUGAUUUCAUCAUUUGUUCAUUGACACAUAUAAAUAAAAUAUUGUCUCACGAUUUCAUCAAAAAUUUUAUAUCUAAAGUUAAUUGACAUUAGUAGAAUACUUUAUUGAUUUUUUUUUAGAAGUCUACAUCGAGUAAGAGUGAAGUAACAGCAGGAGAUGGGGGAACAAAGAAGACGAACUGAUAUUAGCUUUACACAUUAUAAUGUCAAUCUCCCAUGCAGAGUUAUCGGUCCUUUCUCUCUCUCAAUUGAUCUCAUUGAUGAAGGUCGGCCCGUACAGUGACCUAUAGUUGUUAAUUUCUGUGUCAUUUUGGUCUCUUGUGGAGAGUUGUCUCAUUGGAAAUCAUACCUCAUCUUCUUUUUUAAUUUGACUACAGUUAUUCUGUGUCAAAACCCUAUUAUUUGUCAAAUAUUUGUACCUGUAUCAAGCACACUUAUUGUGUCCAUUUUUGCCCCAACUGUUCAGGGGUAGACCUCUGCUGUCAUAUCCAGCUGCGUUGGCGAAGUAAUUUGUUUAUAUUCUUACAAACGUUCUACCUGGACUCUUCGAUAGUUACAAAACAAAUAAUGGUUUUGGUUCCGAAUUCAAUCAGGUCUGUAUUGAUGUGGUUCCAUUAACAAUACCGAGUGCGUAUACAUUUCUUCAUCGUUAAAUAAAGUCAGCGCAUUUAAUAAAUCAUUUUAUAAAAUACAUGUACAAAUAAGAACAGAUAUUAGGCACCGUCAGUUAUAACACUGUUUAUAUAUGGAAGUGUUUAACGACCUUGACUGGCUAUACAGCCGUCGCACGGUCGGCUCGGUGCCCGAAGGCGAUUGGUGAGCUUUAUCAUAUUUUGAUGCCGUGGGUCAGGAACAGGUAGUAGAGGACGCCAUAUGUAGGCCGCCAUCUUGGUUUUGGCAAGGAUUUGUAUAAAUCCUUGGUUUUGGUAAGUUAUUUUUCUUUUGUUGACUAUUUUGAUGUUGGUUUACUUCACAACGGCUGCUUUCAGGGUAAGUUUGGUCAGCUUGGCAGCCCGCUAACCUCGAUGAUGGAGUACUGGUAGAUGAAUCGUGGACGUAGUUCUAAAGAUGACAGGAAGCGUUAUCAGGACCAAAGCCGUGAGGCAGUGAAAUGAAGGUCGUAUCACCCAAUACCUAGGAUACAGCCCUCGGACGUUAAUCGGCAUAACACUCCCCAUGAUACAAUGGUUUUGGAGUGCAUGUUAACGCGGGUACGCCAACU